ACAAGCUUUCGGGAGAACCUCCCUUUCUCAAGUGUGAAGCUUCAGACUUGAGAAAGGGAGGUUCUCCCGAAAGCUUG